GACGAACGCUGGCGGCGUGCUUAACACAUGCAAGUCGAACGGAAAGGCCUUUUCGGCGGUACUCGAGUGGCGAACGGGUGAGUAACACGUGGGUGAUCUGCCCUGCACUCUGGGAUAAGCCUGGGAAACUGGGUCUAAUACCGGAUAGGACCGCACUUUAGUGUGUGUGGUGGAAAGUUUUUUCGGUGUAGGAUGAGCCCGCGGCCUAUCAGCUUGUUGGUGGGGUAAUGGCCUACCAAGGCGGCGACGGGUAGCCGGACUGAGAGGUUGGUCGGCCACAUUGGGAUUGAGAUACGGCCCAGACUCCUCCGGGAGGCAGCAGUGGGGAAUAUUGCACAAUGGGCGCAAUCCUGAUGCAGCGACGCCGCGUGGGGGAUGACGGCCUUCGGGUUGUAAACUCCUUUCGCCAGGGACGAAGCGUUUUGUGACGGUACCUGGAGAAGAAGCACCGGCUAACUACGU
rnacentral:rRNA from 1 species